GACAUGUGCUAGCAUGGUGUGCAACAAAGAAUAUUGUACAGGCUGCUACAUCUGACCUGUCCCCUUUCAGGCCUGACUGACCAGCCUCAUCUGCUGUCUUACCUGAGUGGAUAUGUCACCCUCGGUCAGUACUGGAAACAAAGCAGACUGUGAAAUUUGGGUUUCUUAACAUGUAAAGUCAACUUCACAUUCAACUUAAGUGGGGUUUUUUUUGUACUUUUUCUUCUUUAUGCCCUUUUAGGAAAACAUAGUUUUGGGGUUUUUUUGUUUUGUUUUUGGUACUGGGGAUUGAACUGGGGUCCUUGCGCUUGUGCAGCAGGCGGCGAAACCAAGUUUUGGGUUUUUGUUUGUUUGUCUUUGAGACAGGAUCUUACUUACUAUGUUGUUCAGACUGGCCUUAAACUCCUGGCCUCAAGUGAUGCUCCUGCCUUGGCCGCCCAAGGAACUGGUACUACAGGCCUGUGCCACUGUGCCUGGCUCCUUUCAGAAUAGCAAGGAUAAAAUCAAAGUGAAUUACUCAUGAAUUCAACAACAGUUAUUGACCAUUAAAAUGUAGAGAUCCAGCAGUUUCUGUCCUAAAAUCCAUUGUGAUCUAAUGGAUUGUAUUAGCUUUAAAGUUGUCAAUUAGUUAAUGUGAUAUAUUAAAUAUAGGUGAUGUAUGCAGAAUAGUGGGGCACACCUCCAAUCCCAGGAUUAGAAGUCCCAAGAGAGGGGGCAGGAUGAUUGAAAGUUUGACCCAGCCUAGGCGCCCCAGGAAUUUAGUGAGACACUGUCUCAAAAAAAUAAAAAUGUGGGCCAGGGAGUUAGCUCAGUGGUGCCACCACCUGUCUUGCAAGCGCAAGGAUCCGAGUUCAAUCCCCAGUACCAAAAAAUAAAAAAUAAAAAAUAAAAAAAAUAAUUAAAAAGGUGGAGGAUAUAGGUCAGUGUAAAGGCCCUGGUCUGUGCUCAAUCCUGAGUACUACAAAAAACCAAAAACCAUAGAAUAUAGGCUAUACAAUUGCUCUCUUACAUAUAGAAAGUCUGCAUAUGAGUAAUUACAAAAUCUUGAUGGCACAGCUCAGCUGGAAUCCAACAUUACUGAUUCCCAAUUUAUACCAUUGUUUUGAAGUUUGCUUGUAUGUUGGGUGUUAGAGAAUUCAUGGCACAAGAAUGUAUGAAAGCCACCAUGUACCUGAAAUUUGAAGGGAAAAUAAUGCUUUUGCUGUACUUGUAAUAACAUAAAAUGAAACAAUGAUAUGAGAAAUUAUUCAUUUUAGAAAUUGGUAUUCAAGUAAAAGUAGGUGCUGUGGUUUGAAUGUGUCUUUCAAAACUCACAUUAGAGACUGAAUUUUCAGUGUGGCAAUGUUGAGAUGUGAGAACUAACUAGGUAGUCAAGUCGUGAAUGAAUUAAUGCCUAUUAUAAAUGGGCUUGAGAGCUGGGCAUGGUAGCUCAUGUCUGUAAUCCUGGCACUCAGGAAGCUGAGGCAGGAGGAUUGCCUCAAGUUUGAGGCCAGACUGGGCCAUGUAGUGAGUUCAAGUCCUGCCUAAAUUACAUAUGAGACUUUGUCUCAAAACAUCAUAAAAUGGGGGGAGGGGAAUCAAGGCUGAGUCCAACCUCUUUCUCUUUUCCAUGUGAUGCAUCUGCCAUGUUAUGACACAACAAGAAGGCCUCACUAGAUGCAGCCCUUGAUCUUGAACUCCCAUCCUCUGCAAUUAAGCAAGUUCUGAGGGGGAGAACUGUGCUCCAAAAUAAUCAAAGAUUAUUGGAAGGGAGACAGGUGAGGUGUUGUCAGCAAAAGAGAAACAAGAGAAAUGGGUAGCAUCAAAUGUGUGUGUGUCUGUAUGUGUGUAAAUUGACAGAUGAUUCUAAUAUUUACACAGAAAUGCUAAGGAUCAAAAAAUAGUCAAGGUAAUAUUGAAGAAAAGGAAGAAAGUUG
rnacentral:lncRNA from 1 species